CGACGUAGUGCUUCGUCCCCGUCUGGAGACAAACGUGACGGAGGUUUGGCGCGUGAGGGACAAUUGCUCGGAGGACGUUACGGAGCAUUGCGCCGUUAGCUUCGCAGUUCUCGCUCUCAGAUUCGCGGUUGGUCCAGGUGACGUAGAAGACGUGUGUGACGUCGGUUAAAGUGGAAAUCUUGGAUCUUGUUUCUUCGGCGUCGGAGACAUCGCACUGGAUGUAAUCGAUCGGAUGAUCGGCGUUCCAGUUGGGACGAGGACGGCGAGCGACGCCGUAGACUUUCCAGGGACCGCCGGGGGUGUCGGAAAGAGGGAGAAUCUCCGCCAAGCUGUUACCGACGAUUCCUGUGACGCCGAUGAUGAGAGCGACACUUUCGUAGCUUUGCGUUGGCUCAUCUUCAUCGAGUUUCUUCUGCGAUAACACAAAAUGAAAAAGAAAGAGAGAAGAUUAAUACUUCCUCAGUUCCAUUUUAUGAUUUGGUUAAAAGCACAACACUGGUCAUAACCAAUUAAAAUAAUAUAAAUUAUGCAUAGAAAAUUAAAAAUAAAAAAUAAAAAAAUGGAACAAAUGAAAAAUGUUAAAAACGCUAAUACUUUGGAACGGAGAGAGUACUAAUCAGUGACUAUUAUCAAUUAAGAUGAUGAUCAAUGAUGAAUCAGGGGUUGAGUUGAAUUUUACCUUGGCAGCUCCGAUGGCACCAGCCCACCACCAACUCAUUAUCCUCGAUUUCUGAUUUACAAGAGGCUAAAGAGAUGUGUUUGUGGCUAAGACAGCCGUGUGGGGGUCGUCUCUUUUGAGUGUUUUGUAGUCAUCUUCUAUAGGGAAAGAUAAAUAUCUGUGUAAGCUAAACUGGUCAUCUAUCUUACAAAAUCUCGAGUCAAAUAAAUUUGUCUUGGAAACGAUUUUCUUACCACAAAACCAGUUUAAGCAAUAUAAUCACGAGUCAACUCAACUCUGCUUUAUUUAUAAAUUUUAUAUAUAUAUUUGAAAAUGCUUUCGUAGGAAUCAACAAGUCAAAAAAAGCGUGAAACUGAACCCACAAUCUAAAGGCCAUAACUACUAGUCUACUACUAGAUGACAGGUUUUGUAUAACCGAUAUUGAAAUUUCAUUUUCUUUCACAAAUCUGGCAACUAAACAAUAUUGAAAAUUCACAAUUGUGUAAUUUUCUAAGGGAAUAAUGUCAAACUAAUCGUGAACUUCCUAUGAAAAAAAAACAUGAAUUUUUGAAAUAUUAUGUAAAUCUGAAAAUUUAGUGAGUUUAUGGUAAGAUGGUCAAGUCUCGUUUACCAAAUCAUUUUACACACAACGUUAAGUUUCUGGUAAUAAAAAAUAUACCAUAAUCAAAUUAUCCAGAUGAAAAAUUUCUUACUUUAUGGACCUUUGGAUUCAAAUAAGAGGAAUACCUUUGCCGUAUGUAUAUGAAAGGACUGUUAGAUUUUAUUGCUAACACUCUUGGGGAAGUUCUUGAUCUGGAUUUCGAUGAAGAAACUACAAUGCAUAUUGUAUUUUUUCGAUUCAAAGUAAAAAUUGAAAUUAUAGACAUAUUUCGUUUCUUUCGAAGAAUUAUGUUUUCAUCUGGAAAAGGAGCUACGGUUGGUUUUGAAUAUGAAAAACUCAGAAAAAUCAACCAUCAACAUAGAUCACGCUACGGUUGGUGGGUUCUCAAGCUAAAGCCAAGUAUGAGAUUGGAGAGAGUUCUAAAAGAAUGAAAGGCAGGCAAUCAACAUAGAUCACGCUAGGGACACUCGCCAAUGUAGAAAAGAGCUUGGAGUUAAGUUUUACCUGGUAACUCGAGACCCUCCAUGAAUUUCUCUACAAGAACAAAACAGCUCAGAGACAGUUUUGGUUUUGGUCUCUGAGAAAAACUCCACUGGAGAAGUUUUUUUUUUAAAUAGAAUAAAAAAAACUCAUAGAUCACAAGUUGGUUGCUCCUGGUUUACUUUUUGAUUGUAGCUUUAUUGGGAUGAAGGAAGAUCGGGAAUAGGAGUCUUGUAAGAUCUUCAACUACUUUUUAAAGAUAUUCUGUUACUAAUUCUCAUAAGGAUGGAGAGAUGAUGUGUAAGAACUUAGGCCAUCAUUAUUGAUGGUCUUAUCAUAGCUUGGGUAAAUGAUAAACGCUCUAAAACAAAGAUUGGAAGUAUGGUCUUAUUGGGAAUGUUAUGAAGAUUGCUCGGUUUUUACCAUCUUACAUCUGUUUGCAUUGGUAGUUCAAUGUUGGUUUAGUAUGUUGGUGUUCUAAUUGUAACUUCAAUUGUGUUGUUUUUUCAUGUUUUAACUUAAAAAUGGUGUGGUAAUGGUCUUGUAAACUUAGCUUUUCUAAAAUGGAUUCUCCAUUGAUGGAAAAUGCUGUAGGGACAUUUUUCUCAAUUUUCUAAUCUUAUAAAUUUUGUAUGCGAAGACUGAAGUAGAUCGGUCAUACAAAAAAUAUAUGUAAAAAUGUAGAAAUGUAGAAAUGUAAAAUGGGAAAAAUGUCAUAAAAAUCCCAAACUUUCAAAUUUGAGACGAUUUAAUCCCGAACUUUAAAGAAGUCAUUUUAAUCACAAAGUUUUGUUGUCUUUUCCGUAAAAUAGCUAUGUUUUGUUGACUUAGCCGAUUUAAACACGACGUUUAGUUUCUCUUAAAAUUGCAAAGACGGGGUUAACUGUCCGUGAGUUGCUUCCGUUUCAAACCACAAAACGACAUCGUUUAACAAACUGAUUAAACUAAAUCCCAAAAUCGAUUCACAGUUCACAAAUCUAACUCCCUAACCCUAGAAAAAUCCACAAAUUCUCUUUACUUCUUGAAUUGUUGCCAUAGCGCAGAUCCCUGGGGAAGAAAACGACUUCCAACGUCGUUUUGUCGUCUAAGAAAUAUGGUCAUUUAGGCUAAACAGAAGCAUAUCACAGAUAGUUAACCACAUCUUCAAAUUUUUAACAAAAAAAUAAAUUUCAUGCUUAAAUAAGUGAAGUCAACAAAACUUAGCUAUUUUACGGAAAAGUCAACAAAACUUUGUGCUUAAAAUGACUUCUUUUAAGUUCAGGAUUAAAUCGUCCCAAAUUUGAAAGUUCAGGAUUUUUAUGACAUUUUUCCCAAUGUAAAAUUAGGUGCAACUUUGGGUUGUGGAGAGUGUAUGCGUAAUAGUGUAUUACAUCAUCCUCACCCAAUGAUUUAGGUCUUUCAUUCGAUCCUUUCGGUUAAAGGAAGCUGAUUAUAUAGAUUUGCCAUCAAAACUCCAGAGAGAGAGAGAGGUUCCAUUAAAGAGAAAAUAUAACUUUGUCAUCUAUUCCAAAAGGCAACCAUAGGGUUUACAAGACUAGAUAUGGAAUAUUCAAAAACAGGAAAGGGCGAAUCCGCUUUUAUUUCAAUUUUUAGAAGACAACAAACGAACUGAGAUUUUGGGAGAAACAGAACAUGUAACCAGAGAACUAUCCAAAGUAAGUUUUGGAAUCAAGGAACGAUCUUAAAAGCCUUGUACUUAUCAAUCCAAGAGAUGAAAGAGUUGUUGGAGUUCCUAAAACCAAGGAAGCCAUGUUCCUUACUCUUGUUCAUACUAUCAAUCAUUCCUUCAACUCCAAGCAUAACAUCCGCAAACCACCACACACCAACUUCGUCAAGCUUCUUCUCCUGCAACUGGUUCUCCUUAACCAUCUCCUCCCACACUCUCUCUUUCCCUUUCAUCAUCUCCAUCAAACCCAAAUUCUUCCCUUCCUCAAAUCCAUACUCCUCAAUCCCAAACUGCUCAGCAAGAAUCUUCCACAGAUGCUUCCACUUGAAGAUAUCCGCAUUGUUGCAGUUAAACGCCUCGUUCUUCGCAUACGGAUCAACCGCAGCCCAAAUCUGCUGCUCAGCUAUCAAAUCCGCGUCCGAAGCCGUCGUGAACCCUUCCCACGCCUUCUUGCUCCCAGGAAACAUCAAAGGAGACCCUUCAUGCUUACAAAUGGCAGCAUAAACACAAAGAGUCCCAACUAUGUUCAUCAAACUGUAAGGAGAGAACCCAAAGAUCACGUUCGGUCUAUGUAUGGACCACGUAACACUUUCUUUCUUCUUGAUCUCUUCAAACAGAACAUCCUCUUGAGUGUAGUAGAAAUUCUGGAUCUGCAAUCUCGGCAUAUCCUCUGUAAAAGGCGGAUCGUGAUGAGGUCCGUCGCGGUUGCUGAAAGGGCCGACGUAGUGCUUCGUCCCCGUCUGGAGACAAACGUGACGGAGGUUUGGCGCGUGCGGGACAAUCGCUCGGAGGACGUUACGGAGCAUUGCGCCGUUAGCUUCGCAGUUCUCGCUCUCAGAUUCGCGGUUGGUCCAGGUGACGUAGAAGACGUGUGUGACAUCGGUUAAAGGGGAAAGCUUGGAUCUUGCGUCGUCAGCGUCGGAGACAUCGCACUGGAUGUAAUCGAUCGGAUGAUCGGCGUUCCAGUUGGGACGAGGACGGCGAGCGACGCCGUAGACUUUCC
rnacentral:lncRNA from 1 species